CUCCAGCUUGCUGGGGGGAUUAGUGGCGAACGGGUGAGUAACACGUGAGUAACCUGCCCCUGACUCUGGGAUAAGCGCUGGAAACGGCGUCUAAUACCGGAUAUGACAAUCGACGGCAUCGUCUGGUUGUGGAAAGAAUUUCGGUUGGGGAUGGACUCGCGGCCUAUCAGGUUGUUGGUGAGGUAAUGGCUCACCAAGCCUACGACGGGUAGCCGGCCUGAGAGGGUGACCGGCCACACUGGGACUGAGACACGGCCCAGACUCCUACGGGAGGCAGCAGUGGGGAAUAUUGCACAAUGGGCGCAAGCCUGAUGCAGCAACGCCGCGUGAGGGACGACGGCCUUCGGGUUGUAAACCUCUUUUAGUAGGGAAGAAGCGAAAGUGACGGUACCUGCAGAAAAAGCACCGGCUAACUACGUGCCAGCAGCCGCGGUAAUACGUAGGGUGCAAGCGUUGUCCGGAAUUAUUGGGCGUAAAGAGCUCGUAUGCGGUUUGUCGCGUCUGCUGUGA
rnacentral:rRNA from 1 species